rnacentral:misc_RNA from 1 species
UCCUGGUUAACCCAGGCAGUCUCGUGUGAAAAAUACAACACACGACGAGGGUUGCGCUCGUUGCGGGACUUAACCCAACAUCUCACGACACGAGCUGACGACGACCAUGCAGCACCUGUCACCGGUCCGGCCAAACCGACUCCCACGUUUCUGUGGGAUACGACCGGGAUGUCAAGCCCUGGUAAGGUUCUUCGCUUAGCGUCGAAUUAAACCACACGCUCCACCGCUUGUGCGGCCCCCCGUCAAUUCCUUUGAGUUUUAAGCUUGCGCUCGUACUCCCCAGGCGGGGCACUUAACGCGUUAGCUACGACACCCAGGGGGUCUAUGCCCCAGAUGCCUAGUGCCCAUCGUUUACAGCGUGGACUA